UCAAAACUUUUAAAAAGCCUUUUUUUUUUGUUUUUUAAUGGUUAAACCAAUAGAAAAAAACUCUUCCCU
rnacentral:tRNA from 1 species